ACCAGGGUAGCCUAGUGGACAUGGCACCUGCCCGGUAAGCAGAAGGUUGUGGGUUCGAUUCCCGCCCCUGGAC